AGAACGAACGCCGGCGGCAGGCUUAACACAUGCAAGUCGAGCGCUGUAGCAAUACAGAGCGGCGCACGGGAGAGUAAUACGUGGGAACCUACCUUUUGGUUCGGAAUAACGUCGGGAAACUGACGCUAAUACCGAAUAAGUCCUUCGGAGAAGAUUUAUCGCCGAUAGAUGGGCCCAUGUUGGAUUAGCUAGUUGGUGAGGUAAUGGCUCACCAAGGCUACGAUCCAUAGCUGGUCUGAGAGGAUGAUCAGCCUCACUGGGACUGAGACACGGCCCAGACUCCUACGGGAGGCAGCAGUGGGAAUAUUGGACAAUGGGGGCAACCCUGAUCCAGCCAUGCCGCGUGAAUGAUGAAGGCCUUCGGGUUGUAAAGUUCUUUUGGCGGGGACGAUGAUGACGGUACCCGCAGAAUAAGCUCCGGCUAACUUCGUGCCAGCAGCCGC
rnacentral:rRNA from 1 species